rnacentral:rRNA from 1 species
CAGCCGCCGCGGUAAUACGGAGGGGGCUAGCGUUGUUCGGAAUUACUGGGCGUAAAGCGCACGUAGGCGGCUUGGUAAGUUAGAGGUGAAAGCCCAGGGCUCAACCCUGGAAUUGCCUUUAAGACUACCGAGCUAGUAGGUGAGGGAGGUGAGUGGAAUUCCGAGUGUAGAGGUGAAAUUCGUAGAGAUGUGGAGGAACACCAGUGGCGAAGGCGACUCUCUGGUCUGUAACUGACGCUGAGGAGCGAAAGCGUGGGGAGCGAACAGGAUUAGAUACCCCAGUAGUCCCUGUCUCUUAUAC